ensembl:misc_RNA Metazoa_SRP Metazoan signal recognition particle RNA
GCAGGGCGUGGUAGCCUGUGCCUGUAAUCCCAGCUACUUGGGAGGGUGAGGCAGGAGAAUCACUUGAACCUGGGAGGCAGAGGGUGCAGUGAGCUGAGGUCAUGUCACUAUUCCGGCAUGGGUGACAGAGCGAGACUCUGUUAAAAAAAAAUUAAUGCAGUCUAGCAACAAUUAGAUGUACAUUGCUGAGGUCUUUUAUCUGUUGUAGAUUUUUCUCCUUUUUAUUGCAUCAGACAUGUUGCCCUGCAAAUUGUAGUAGUGAUACCAAGGAAUAAGAAAUUAAGUAAUUUUAUCGGGAGCAGGUGACCACCAGGUUGCCUGAGGAGGAGUAAACUGGCCCAGGUUGGAAACAGAGAAGGUCAAAACUCUCAUGUUGAUCAGCAGUGGAAUCACACCUGUGAAUAGCCAUGGCCCUUUAUCCUGGGCAACGAGUGAGAGUGUCUCUA